AGAGUUUGAUCCUGGCUCAGGACGAACGCUGGCGGCGUGCUUAACACAUGCAAGUCGAACGGAAAGGCCCUGCUUUCGUGGGGUGCUCGAGUGGCGAACGGGCGAGUAACACGUGAGUAACCUGCCCUUGACUUUGGGAUAACUUCAGGAAACUGGGGCUAAUACCGGAUAGGAGCUCGUGCUGCAUGGUGGGGGUUGGAAAGUUUCGGCGGUUGGGGAUGGACUCGCGGCUUAUCAGCUUGUUGGUGGGGUAGUGGCUUACCAAGGCUUUGACGGGUAGCCGGCCUGAGAGGGUGACCGGCCACAUUGGGACUGAGAUACGGCCCAGACUCCUACGGGAGGCAGCAGUGGGGAAUAUUGCACAAUGGGCGGAAGCCUGAUGCAGCAACGCCGCGUGCGGGAUGACGGCCUCCGGGUUGUAAACCGCUUUCGCCUGUGACGAAGCGUGAGUGACGGUAAUGGGUAAAGAAGCACCGGCUAGCUACGUGCCAGCAGCCGCGGUGAUACGUAAGGUGCGAGCGUUGUCCGGAUUUAUUGGGCGUAAAGGGCUCGUAGGUGGUUGAUCGCGUCGGAAGUGUAAUCUUGGGGCUUAACCCUGAGCGUGCUUUCGAUACGGGUUGACUUGAGGAAGGUAGGGGAGAAUGGAAUUCCAUGUGUAGCGGUGAAAUGCGCAGAGAUAUGGAGGAACACCAGUGGCGAAGGCGACUUUCUGGUCUGUAACUGACGCUGAUGUGCGAAAGCGUGGGAUCAAACAGGAUUAGAUACCCUGGUAGUCCACGCCGUAAACGAUGAGUGCUAAGUGUUAGGGGGUUUCCGCCUCUUAGUGCUGCAGCUAACGCAUUAAGCACUCCGCCUGGGGAGUACGACCGCAAGGUUGAAACUCAAAGGAAUUGACGG
rnacentral:rRNA from 1 species